rnacentral:rRNA from 1 species
CAGGAUUAACGCUGGCGGCGUGCCUAAUACAUGCAAGUCGAAUGGUAGUAGCAAUACAAACCAUGGCGAACGGGUGAGUAACACGUAGGUAACCUGUCUUUAAGACGAGGAUAACCGUUGGAAACGACGGAUAAUACUGGAUAGGACAUUAUAUGGGGCAUCCCAAAAUGUUUAAGGAUUAUUAUGUCACUUAGAGAGGGGCCUGCGGCGCAUUAGCUAGUUGGUGAGAUAACAGCCCACCAAGGCGAUGAUGCGUAGCCGGACUGAGAGGUUGAACGGCCACAAUGGGACUGAGAACGGCCCAUACUCCUACGGGAGGCAGCAGUAGGGAAUUUUCGGCAAUGGGCGCAAGCCUGAACCCGAGCAACGCCGCGUGAACGAAGAAGUUAUUCGUAAUGUAAAGUUCUUUUAUCUGGGAAGAAAAAACAAAUUGACUGUACCAGAUGAAUAAGCUCCGGCUAACUACGUGCCAGCCGCAGC